AACAAGGCGUACCUGCGGACCUGCGGAAGGAUCAUUACAGAGUGUAAAAACUCCCAAAACCCAUGUGAACAUACCUUUUUGUUGCUUCGGCGGGAUCGCCCCGGGCGCCUUGUGUGCCCCGGAGUCAGGCGCCCGCCGGGGGACCCAAACUCUUGUUUUUAACGAGUAUCUUCUGAGUAACGUUUUUAAAUAAAUAAAAACUUUCAACAACGGAUCU
rnacentral:misc_RNA from 1 species